UACCGGUUGGGAAAGGUGCAACUGCACCGCAGAUGGAGGAGCCCGCGGCGCAUUAGCUAGUUGGUGGGGUAACGGCCCACCAAGGCGACGAUGCGUAGCCGACCUGAGAGGGUGACCGGCCACACUGGGACUGAGACACGGCCCAGACUCCUACGGGAGGCAGCAGUAGGGAAUCUUCGGCAAUGGGCGAAAGCCUGACCGAGCAACGCCGCGUGAGCGAAGAAGGCCUUCGGGUUGUAAAAGCUCAGUCACCCGGGAAGAGCGGGCAGGAGAGGGAAUGCUCCUGUCGAGACGGUACCGGGAGAGGAAGCCCCGGCUAACUACGUG
rnacentral:rRNA from 1 species